AGGAACGUACACAGAUCAGGGGCUC
rnacentral:piRNA from 1 species